UACGUAGGGUGCGAGCGUUAAUCGGAAUUACUGGGCGUAAAGCGUGCGCAGGCGGUUUUGUAAGCCAGAUGUGAAAUCCCCAGGCUUAACCUGGGAACUGCAUCCGAUACUGGAUGGCUUGAAUCCGGGAGAGGGAUGCGGAAUUCCAGGUGUAGCGGUGAAAUGCGUAGAUAUCUGGAGGAACACCGGUGGCGAAGGCGGCAUCCUGGACCGGCAUUGACGCUGAGGAGCGAAAGCCAGGGGAGCAAACGGG
rnacentral:rRNA from 1 species